rnacentral:rRNA from 1 species
CGCCUUCUGACCACUAGCCAUAGAAGGUCCCGCCUGCCCUGUGAUCAUGUAUUUAACGGCCGCGGUAUCCUAACCGUGCAAAGGUAGCGCAAUCACUUGUCUUUUAAAUGAAGACCUGUAUGAAUGGCACAACGAGGGCUUAACUGUCUCCCUCCCCCAGUCAAUGAAAUUGAUCUCCCCGUGCAGAAGCGGGGAUAGAACUAUAAGACGAGAAGACCCUGUGGAGCUUUAGACACAAGAGCAGCCCCUGUAAAGAAAACCCGCGCAUAAAGGUAGAAACAAAAGGGUCAAUCUGCUCUGAUGUCUUCGGUUGGGGCGACCACGGGGCAAUAAAAAACCCCCAUGAGGAAUAAAAAAACCUUUUUAAACUAAGAGUUUCAGCUCAAAGUAACAGAACAUCUGACCUAUAAUGACCCGGCUAACGCCGAUCAACGAAACCAGUUACCCCAGGGAUAACAGCGCAAUCCUUUCCCAGAGCCCAUAUCGACGAAAGGGUUUACGACCUCGAUGUUGGAUCAGGACAUCCUAAUGGUGCAGCCGCUAUUAAGGGUUCGUUUGUUCAACGAUUAAAGUCCU